GACUCUAAUCUAGAGACUCUGCCGUUUUCUUUUCUACCUCUCUCUAUCUCCAUCACCACCAAUUGCCCUCAACCUCACGCCGUCCAUGGCCGCCAUCACGCUCCUCGCCCUUGCAAACGGUGCGCCAGACGUCUUCUAUUUUGUCGCGGCAGCAACUACCGAAACGGUUCUGCUCAAACUAGGCACUCAACCUUAGUUUACUCCAAUUACCCUCCCUCUCUAUCUUUUAUCAACAUGCAAAGACAAGACAUACAUCUGGAAAUGUGUAUGCUGAUGCACUACCGCAACAUCUGUAUCGAUGGCUUUAAAGCCUAUGAAAAGCCCAAUAGCUAUCUGCAGUGAUAUUCAUGGACAAUCUCAUCAUCUUCGAGAGCUUUUCCGUAGUGGAGGAAAGUUAUCACUUGGCAACAUUAUGAUGGUGAUGUUGAAGAACUCUAUCUGGACUUUAUAGGAACUGAAAGUCAUUUGGAAAACGACAUGUUAUUAAGCUCAAGCCAGGUGGAAAGGAUGUUAGUGUGACCAGGAAGAACAAAUUGUAGUACUUCCAUGUAACUGCUGAUUAUAAACUUAAUCUGACAGAUUUUUCUAUUUUCAAAUGCAUUCUAUGUAGUAACUGAUCUGAUAUCACCAUCUUGGCUAAAAUUGUUUAAUGCCGGGAAAUUUAAUCAGAAAGAACACACAAUACACUGGUGGUCAAUCUGAGGGGACCCUGGCGAUUAAAAUCUUUUGGGAGGUUUAAAAUCUCCAUAGAAGUGUCAUGUUCUAUAUUGAGCAAAAGAAAUUGGCAAUGCAGCGUAAGUUGGGCCGAAAGAGAAGAGUACGAAUCGUGGCUGAGCUAUGCCUUUUAUUUAACAUGCUUGGAGGAUAGCUAAGAGAUGAAGAUGGUGUCCGAAACAAUGCAGACAAUUCAAAAGAUGAGACAUUUGAUGAAGAUGAAGAUUUGUGAUUCACAAAGUGGGUUUCAGUAAUAUUUGGUUUAGGUUUUAGCUAGUCUUAGUAAACUAUUUUUCUUUUUCUUUUUUAUUUUAGGUAUAUUAUUUUUGGGUAAAAUAUUUGUAGACUUUAUUUGGUUUAUGAUUUAAUAGGUCUUUGAAUA